GGACCACCUUCGUCGCUGCUGUUCCCGUUGUUCCCCUGCUCUGCGGAUCUGGCGCUGCGGGAGGCGAGGAUGCUCCGAGGGAGCCAGCCACAGCCAGCGGAGGCUCAAGCCCCCUGCAGAGGCCAGGCUGCAGCCCUGGCGAUGGGGACGGCGGCCACGCGGUGCCCGAGCCGGUGCUGAGCCCAGCGGUUGUUGCUAAACAACCAACCCUGACUCUGGAGAUGUCAGCCAGCAAGGAACAGAGAUUAAACACUCCUGCUAGCACAUCCUGAAACUUGGGUAAGCCUCAGAAUGAUGACAGGCUAUGGAAUAAUGGUCCCUGUUGUAUGAGAAAGCAAAGUUACCACUCCACUGCAUAAUCGGGAGGCUUCCUCGGCCAGAAGGACCAAGCUCAAGGCUGGCUGUGUCCUCAGCACUUCCCGGCAGAGCUGCCAUCUUCAUUGCUGGUCACUUUAAGAAGAGAGGUGAAAAAAUAGUAUAGUGAAUGGUUAAGAGGGAAAAGUGUUCUCCACUUCCCCAUCCUCUCUCUGGAGCUGAUCUCUGCCCUCAGUCUCCCGUUUAUCCUUAACCAGUCCUUCCCAAUCCUUCUGUCCGUGCUUUCUAAUGCUGUUUCUCCUUUGGAAACCUUUACAGACCCAUCACCGAGGGCAGUCUCCAUCUCUCUGUGAGGUUACAGAGCCCGUGGCAAACUCACACUUGUGCCAACAAAAGCUGAGUUUGGGUAAGAGUCGUUUUCAUUUCUUUAACUAUUCCCACGACACGAUUUCCAGGUGCGGUCCCUGCCCCAAGCAACUCACAGUGCUGCCAACACUCCAGCACCUCACAGGGGAGGAGGAAGCGAGGAGAAAAGCCCCGAAGGCCGGUUCUGUCCCCCGCACCGAGAGCUGCAGCUCUGACACGUCAUCGUCACGACCGGACAGCGGAACGAGACCGAGCGCCCGUGGGCCAGGGGCUGCACCCAGCACAGGCAGCAGGGACCAGCUCAGACCCCCUGAGAGCACCCAUGGGCCAGGGGCUGCACCCAGCACAGGCAGCAGGGACCAGCUCCUGUCCUGCCCGAGGGACAUCCCGGGAUCCCAGCUGGCGUGGAAGCGUCUGGAAGGCACCCGUCCUACCUGUCCCCAGUGCUUUUAA
rnacentral:lncRNA from 1 species